rnacentral:rRNA from 1 species
AGAUUGAACGCUGGCGGCAGGCCUAACACAUGCAAGUCGAGCGGCAGCACGGGUACUUGUACCUGGUGGCGAGCGGCGGACGGGUGAGUAAUGCCUAGGAAUCUGCCUGGUAGUGGGGGGAUAACGCUCGGAAACGGACGCUAAUACCGCAUACGUCCUACGGGAGAAAGCAGGGGACCUUCGGGCCUUGCGCUAUCAGAUGAGCCUAGGUCGGAUUAGCUAGUUGGUGGGGUAAUGGCUCACCAAGGCGACGAUCCGUAACUGGUCUGAGAGGAUGAUCAGUCACACUGGAACUGAGACACGGUCCAGACUCCUACGGGAGGCAGCAGUGGGGAAUAUUGGACAAUGGGCGAAAAGCCUGGAUCCAGCCAUGCCGCGUGUGUGAAGAAGGUCUUCGGAUUGUAAAGCACGUUUAAGUUGGGAGGUAAGGCAGUUACCUAAUAACGUAUCUGUUUUGACGUUACCGACAGAAUAAGCAACGGCUAAACUCUGUGCAGUCACG